GGGCCCGCACAAGCGGAGGAACAUGUGGUUUAAUUCGAUGAUACGCGAGGAACCUUACCUGGGCUUAAAUGGGGAGUGACGUUAUCAGAGAUGGUAAUUUCUUCGGACACUCUUCAAGGUGCUGCAUGGUUGUCGUCAGCUCGUGCCGUGAGGUGUCGGGUUAAGUCCCAUAACGAGCGCAACCCUUACUGUUAGUUGCCAGCGGGUAAAGCCGGGGACUCUAGCGGGACUGCCACCGUAAGGUGAGAGGAAGGUGGGGAUGACGUCAAAUCAGCACGGCCCUUAUGUCCAGGGCUACACACGUGUUACAAUGGCCGGUACAGAGGGCAGCUACACUGCGAAGUGAUGCGAAUCCCGAAAGCCGGUCUCAGUUCGGAUCGAAGUCUGCAACCCGACUUCGUGAAGUUGGAUUCGCUAGUAAUCGCGCAUCAGCCAUGGCGCGGUGAAUACGUUCCCGGGCCUU
rnacentral:rRNA from 1 species